rnacentral:rRNA from 1 species
UACAGAGGUGGCGAGCGUUGUUCGGAAUUACUGGGCGUAAAGGGCGCGUAGGCGGCCACUGCAAGUCGGUUGUGAAAUCUCCGGGCUUAACCCGGAAAGGUCAAUCGAUACUGCAGGGCUAGAGUGCGGAAGGGGCAACUGGAAUUCUCGGUGUAGCGGUGAAAUGCGUAGAUAUCGAGAGGAACACCUGCGGCGAAGGCGGUUGCUGGGCCGACACUGACGCUGACAGCGCGAAAGCUAGGGGAGCGAACGGG